AAACUAACAAGGAUUCCCCUAGUAAUGGCGAAUGAAGCGGGAAAAGCUCAAAUUUGAAAUCUGGCCGUUCUGCGGUCCGAGUUGUAAUUUCAAGAAGCGUCUUCGGAUGCGGCCCGGGUUUAAGUUCCUUGGAACAGGACGUCAUAGAGGGUGAGAACCCCGUCUUUGGCCCGGUGACCGUAUUCAUGUGAAGCGUUUUCGAAGAGUCGAGUUGUUUGGGAAUGCAGCUCUAAAUGGGUGGUAAAUUCCAUCUAAAGCUAAAUAUUGGUGGGAGACCGAUAGCGAACAAGUAGAGUGAUCGAAAGGUGAAAAGAACUUUGAAAAGAGAGUUAAACAGUACGUGAAAUUGUUGAAAGGGAAGCGCUUGAAGUCAGACUCGCCUGCUUCGGAUCAGCCUAGCUUUUGUUGGGUGCACUCCGGAGUUUGGCGGGCCAGCAUCAGUUUUGGAAGUCGGAUAAAGGUCUUGGGAACGUAGCUCUCUUCGGGGAGUGUUAUAGCCCAGGACGCAAUGCGACAAUCCGGGACUGAGGACCGCGGCUUUUGCCUAGGAUGCUGGCUUAAUGGCUUUAAGCGAC
rnacentral:rRNA from 1 species